AUUGAACGCUGGCGGCAUGCUUUACACAUGCAAGUCGAACGGCAGCGCGGGCUUCGGCCUGGCGGCGAGUGGCGAACGGGUGAGUAAUACAUCGGAACGUGCCCAGUAGUGGGGGAUAGCUCGGCGAAAGCCGGAUUAAUACCGCAUACGACCUGAGGGUGAAAGUGGGGGAUCUUCGGACCUCGCGCUAUUGGAGCGGCCGAUGGCAGAUUAGCUAGUUGGUGGGGUAAAGGCCUACCAAGGCGACGAUCUGUAGCUGGUCUGAGAGGACGACCAGCCACACUGGGACUGAGACACGGCCCAGACUCCUACGGGAGGCAGCAGUGGGGAAUUUUGGACAAUGGGCGAAAGCCUGAUCCAGCAAUGCCGCGUGUGUGAUGAAGGCCUUCGGGUUGUAAAGCACUUUUGGCGGGAACGAAAAGGACUGUGCCAAUACCACGGUUCGAUGACGGUACCCGCAGAAUAAGCACCGGCUAACUACGUG
rnacentral:rRNA from 1 species